CUGGCAGCCACCACCCAUUUCUGCAGCCAUCCCCUGUCGCUUGGCAGGUGUGGCGCAUGAUGUGCGCAGCAGUUCCCAAGCAGAGUCCUGCCCCCAAAGAUUUUGCUAAAACGACGGGACGAAGAGGAGAUGGCCGCACAAAGGGAGGCCACGGGUUAUUGGAGGGCGCAUGGAGGGAUGCCGGCAGCUGCCCUUGUUCCUAAAACAAGCCUGGAAGUGGCACCCCCCAGUCGUACACAGAUCCAACAUUUCUUCUAACAGUCCCAAUGCCCGGCUCAGUCUGAGUCGAUGCCCCACCUUUGUAGGGGGCAGAGGUGUCAUACAGCAAGAUGAUCUGUUUCAGGGAAGCUCUGGGGCGCUAUCUCCAAGAGCAGGGCUACAUGCCAGUUUCUUGAAGAACCCCCUGAAAGUAUCGUUGUGUGGAGAUGUGAUGGAGAAAGCGCGGUCUUUGGAGAUGAACAGCCCAAGGAAUGUGGAGGCUGGGACCGGGACUCACCUGGGUGCACCUUCUCCUCCAAGUUGUCAGCGGAAGACUGGGCUACAUUCAUCGACUUGCUGGCUGCUUCUACUUAUUGAAGAGCCCUCAUCCCCGUUUGUCAGCCUUGCGUCUGUACGAAACGCUUGUGCGCUGUUAAAGAUCUGCUGUGCUUCACACCACAUUUCUUUAGUGGACCAAGUGGACCUUUGCUCUUCCAAGAGAGCAACUUUGGACCCCAGCUCCUGUUGUAACCCAGCCCUCAGAGGCGGCUAGUGACAUGUGAACUAGGUAGGCAAACACCACCGUGAAGGAGCUGGGUUGGAGCCAAAAGCCACCGCUGCUGUGUCACUCCAGAAGGGCCGGGGAGACCUUUCCACUCGCACAUCCCGAGGAGACUCCACUGCAGGUGUGAGAGCUUUGGGGUUAAGGUCCGAACCUCACUCACUUAGCUGGGCCCUGGGCUGGCGGGGUUAAAUGGGGGGAGUUUAUAACCCAGUGAUGGACUUCUGUAAACUUGGAACAAACUUUGCCAGACAGAAAAAUAUUUCCCAAUAUAUGAACAUGGUGCAUUUGGUGGGCCUGCACGGUGCAAGCCUGUGCGAUGUGCGUGGCGGUGUGUAAGUACUGCAGGCAUAUGGCCACGUGUAUACAUUUAUGUACAGCGUGUGCUGUGUAUUUUAUGUAUAUGUCUAUCUGUGCUACGGGCUCACGCAUACCUUUGCAACACGUUUUACUAUCUCGCCUCCCCGUCUAUGGGCUGUGUGCGUGGCACAGUACACGCGUGUGCACUUGUGUGGGGGUGGGU
rnacentral:lncRNA from 1 species